CAUUUCAAAGAGUUAACCAAACUUCCCAUUACCAAUAUCAGAGUAGCCUAAGAUACGGGUCUACAGAUUUUGGCUCAGUCUUUUCUGAAAAUCAGUCCCAUUUUGGUUAAAAUUGGUUGAGUCCCCCCACUAAUACAUUGUGCUACCGAAAAAUAUGGAGAAUUGUAGAUAUGGAGCGACAUAUAUGGAAGAAAAAAUAAAUUGGCUUUUGAAGAAGACGGGGAAAGGAAGCGAGCGCUACAGGAAGAACAUUCAAUUUAAGAGAAUAUUUCUUCGCAGGUUAAUUUAAUCAAGAACACCACAAAUAACGGAGUUGACACACAAAAAAAGAAGUGGCACUUUUGAAGAGUGUGUGAUACCAAUUAUUGGCAAGUGAUGCUCGAAUUGUGGAAAGAUGAAUUCCAUUUGUCUUGUUGCAGAAUUUAUUCUAGAAGUUUUGGGAAUUAAAGAGAAAGUUUGGUGUGGUUUCAUGUUGAAAUCACUUCAGCUUUUAUGUUUUAGUUAGAAUUUGUUUUAUUUGAGAUAGAACAACAAGUCCUUUGAUUUGACGGCGUCUAACUUGCAAGGAGACCUUUCUCUGCUAUG